AAAAAUAAAUAAACGUUGAAAAAAAAAUUUUUUUUAAAUGAAGAGGCUAUAGCAGUGAACUAAAUAGACAAAAAUUCCUGCCCUCAUAAAGUUUAUAGUCUCAUGACAUUUAUUUGACUCUUGCCUAUUAUGUUUCCCUGCCUCUAUGUUUUGUAGCACUUGCAUGGAAUUUUCCAGCUGCUCAUAGCCCUAAACUCAGGACUACCCCUCUUCCUGAACCAGUGAUGCCUGGGAUUUAUACAAUAUUAAUCAGACCUGCUUUCUGUUUGGUGAGCCAAACCUGGGCACUCUUGUGGGCUGCCAUUUAUAGCUAUACCAUAUACCUAUGUGUGGUUUCCACACAUCCCAUCUUGGCUGGUAUCCAAGACUUCCAGGAGGAGGUGCUGUUCUUCCUAGCUCCUGUUGGCCCUUCUACAGGAGACUGGAUCCUUCCCUCUGAUCCUGCCCUCCCUCUCCCAAGUACCAUCGAGGGAUGCUGCUGUGAGUGGCACCUUCUCAGAACCAGGUACUACUCUUCUAUUCUGCUGUAUUAACCCCAGUAGGGAUGUGCCUGACUGCCGCUCUGCCAGAUGGAUCAGACCAGCCUUAGCUCUCUUUCUCACCUGGCUCAUGGCCAGCCACUGGCUCUUCAUCUGAGCAUUGAUGCUGCAAAGUAGUGUUAAAAAUGAUUAAAGAAAACACUUUAGGUUAUACAAACAAAAUUUAUUUAACACUUCAUGAAGUAGACAGUUUCCUUCCAGAAAACUGUAAAAUGUGGUAGAAGACAAGAAGCUUUUAUAGGAUAAAGAAUAAAGAACAAGGAAGAGAUAAAUAGAAAAUAUCUGGUUGGCUGGGGGCACAUUGUUAGGCUAGAGUUGGCUUGAUGUUUGGGGAUUGGCUGACUGGGAAUAGUGCAUUUCUGGUCAUGCAGAGUAUUUGCAGGAACAUAAAAGUUCUCUACAUUUUGGUUUGAUGACCUAGCAUCUGGGCAGGGGCAACUCCAUCUUGAGCCUAGAAAUUUAUUUCAACAGGAUAGACAGUUCUAUUUUUCCAUUAUUUAGAAAUGGCCAGUUUUGAGAAGGUGCCUAAUGAUUUCAUUAAUUUUCAUAAAUAAAAGCUCAAAAGCAGAAAGGUUUUGUAAAAAUGCAAAUAAUGAAUCCUAUCAAUAUCCCUCCAAUUGCCUUCAAAUACCUAUAAGUAUACCUUCAAAUACCUUCAGAUACUAUCAAUUUACCUUCAUAAUACCGCUCACAUUGCCCCCUUCAGGUCUUUCUCCACUACUGUCUCAACAACGCCACACCCUAUGGUGCAGGGUAAGAAUGUUAAGUAUUAUCCAAAUUGUUUCUUAUUCUGAUUUCAUUUUUUUCUCUCCCUGAAAUUUUGCCACAUUCAGUUAGCAGCAUUUAAUAUCUGAGAAGAUGAUAUCACAGAAAACAAACAGGAGUCGAAUAACCAAAUCUGCAGAGAACAUGAGUCAAAUUAUUGACUUUUGAUGAUCAAAAGCUGAGCUUUCUGUACAAAUAAGAGUAUGCGGUCACUCAAGUUUUUUCCUGCUUCCCUAGUUCCAGCCCUGCCUGUCUAGAUAAAGCUUCCACAGGCUGAGGGAGGCAAAAUGUUUACAGGGAGCUGGCAAGGAAUAGACAUUAUGAGAUGCUGUAAAUAUACCAUAAUAGAAAUACUGAAUUCUUUGUGGGGACCUGAGGUGGACAUGACUGUGUGUCAUGUUAUAGGCAGAUCCUGAGAAGAUGAUAGCCAUGAAGAGCUCUCCAGCCCUCCAGUCAUGGAGCAUUAGAGCACUGGGGCUGUGUGGGGUAUGUAGGCUAGGAGUCUGAGGCAGCCUCGCCAAACUUCUUGGCAUGGGCAGGAGAACAGUCAAAUGCUUCCCAGAUACCUUGGAAGGUUAUGGGAGAGGCUGUGAGAGCAGGAUCUGGGACCUGUAGCGAUUGGAUCAUUGGAGUGCAGUGGUCAUCUGCAAGGUCACCUGCCACGAUCUUGAGUCCCUGGUUGUUCUCGUGGCAAUACAGGACAUGGAGAAUGAUGACCAACUGUCUCCUCCUUCCUAUCUGUUGGCCCUAAAUAAGUGCCUCUGCUGCUACUCCCAGGGUCACAGUCACCCUAUCAGCAAGGUGUGAGAGAAGUCCCUGCAUAUUCUGGAUUCUCCAGAGAAACAGAACCAGCAGUGUAUUUAAGUAUCCAGAGAAAGGCAUUUACUAUAAGGAAUUGACUCACACAGUUACAGAGGCUGAGAAGUCCAAGAUCUGCAGUAGGCAAGCUAGAAACCCAGGAGAACCAAUGGUAUCAUUCUAGUCUGGUCCAAAGGUCUGAAAACCAGGAGAGCUGAUGGUGCAAGUUCAAGCCCAUGUCUGAGUCUGAAGGCAAUGGAAGACUGAUGUUCCAGCUCAGACAAUCGGGCAGAAAGAAAGACUCCUUUCUUGUUCAGCCUUUUCUUCUACUCUGGCCUUAAACAGAACGGAUGAGGCCCACCCCCAUAGGAGAAAACAAUCUGCUUUGUUCAGUCUACCCAUUCAAAUGUUAAUCUCAUCCAGAUGCACCCUCCCAGACACACUCAGAAUAAUGUUUAAGGAAAUAUCUGGGCACCCUGUGGCCCAGUCAAGUUGACACAGAAAAUUAACCAUCAUACACUGAAUGGGCUGAGAUUACACAACCUGACAGAAAACAGGCUGCUGCUUCUCUCUGUAGAGGGGGCUCACAAUAGGAAUUGAGUUGAAGUAUAAAAAAAUGAUGCUGCAUUUCUUACAGAGCUGAGUCUGUAGCCCCAACUGACUUACCUGCUCUUAUACCCAAUCUUCACAGGCGCUGUUGAGAUCUGCCUUUCAGAAGCCUUUCUGCAGUCUCAUGAAUGGAUGGACACACUCUGACUUCCUCUCCCACAGAUGCUACCUCUCUCCAGGCGUAUCAUGGCUCCUGCAGCCAUGUCUGGCCUCCACAGAACACUCAGCACAGAGUUACCAAAGUAGGAGUUCAGGAAAUACCUUUGAAUGAAUGGAUGAUCUGAAAAACCUUUCUUUCAGGUGGAGAGGAUCAUUCCAAGACAAUGAAGUCUUUCACAGUGGGCCCCUCUGAGGAUCCUGACUCAGCUUGCAUCCUGUGGAAAGUUCUGGGUUGUUUGUCUUCUCAUAAAAACAAGUUUCCUGCACCAGCCUUUGUAGUUUCCUCACCAGCUGUUUCCACUUCCAAAGUGGAUCCUUCAGAAUGCCUAACGAAGAGUUCAGGUGAAUAUACCCUCUCUCCUAAAAUAUUUCAAAGAGGCAUCCAAUCUUUUGCCUGAAAUUCAGCCUCACUUUGGUGACUAGCCAGCCUGACCUCCUCCAACGUUAAGGCCUGAACAAGGACAGGAUUCUGCACACAGAAACAUUCUUCUCAAAGUUAUUGCUGCUUCCCUCCUGUGAGAAACACUGAAGAGUUGCAUAUAAAUGAAUCAAAUUGCAUGACAAGGUAAAAUUAGAGUCCUUGAAGUUAGCCAUGACCAUAGAAGUUGCCUCAGCAAGUAAAAUGUCUGCAAAAGUGACAUGUAUCAGUUUUGAGGCAGAAGCAUUCAAGGAGCUGGUAUGCGGUUCUCCAUCCUUUUGUGUCCGACUGGUGCUGGCCACAGAAUAUGCAUGCACUACAAUUGCUGUGUACCGUACAAUUACACUAUGCUGGAAUAUUAUUUAUUUGGGACAUUGAGUUGUCAACAUGGAAGAUAUUUGUUCUGGAGGGUCACCCUGCUUUGUAGUGCACUUAUUAUGAACAAUAAAUAGGCCUUUGUUGUUUGCUGA